CAGCGAGGCCCACAAGUGAAUCAUAAACACUUGCGUUCUGCAGAUGACUCUUCCACUGGGACGGGAUCAGAUCUACCCCUAAUGGAUGUAUUUGCUGUGCAGAAAAUGGUGUCCUGAGAAUGUGCCACAGCAUAUCAGGCUGGUAUCAGCUCAGCUGGAGAGUGGAAUGGUUCCAAAUUACCACAGUAUUGAGAUGGAAGGGCUGACAGCACAAGCCAGAGAUCAG